rnacentral:misc_RNA from 1 species
CGAUCAGCGCAGCGACGACACCCGCAUGCUCGACGAGUUCACGCAGGACGCACGUGCGCAGCGCCGCCCGCCGCAGGGUUCGGGCAUGCGCGAUGUGGUUGCGGAUGCCAACGGUCGACCCGUUCAGCGCGGCGCAGCCAGGCUCAGGAUUUUCCCGAUCAGCGUGGUACGGCGCCUUACAGCUACGACGAAUCCAUCGAGGAAGCCGGACGCUAUCAGCCGAACGGCUCC